AUCUUCGAGGCUGUUUGGGAUGUUAUCAAGAAGCUGCUUCCUCAAGCGGGUAUCGACAGAGUUAAAUUCGUGGACAAGAAGGGUAUGUUAGAAUACAUCGACGAGGAUAAACUACCAGAAUGUUACGGAGGAACCGAUCAAUCGGAAUUUAAAUACCACGAAUCUCUGAAAGAUACAGACGUAUUGUUUCGUGAGAAAA